CUCUCUUCUCGCACGAAUUAAAGUUGACAAAUACCUCUUUAACACUUGGUGAUGCAAAAACAAAGUAUAAACAAUCUAAGAAAUAUUUUAUCAAACACUUCAUACGUAAUAUUUCUACAAACACAGUUUUCUUACCUAGGUUUUGCCGUUGCCGGUGAUGAUUCUAGAAGGCAAGGCUGCGUUUGGUUUGAUAAGGAGGGAGAGAAGUUGUGUUUGGCUAUGAACUAACAAAGGUAAUUUGGGAAAGAAACCUUGUGUUUGGCUAGUUAUGAUAGGAAAAAAUUUUAAUGGUUAAAUGUGAAAAAUGAUAAAAUUAUUUGGUUAUUUUUAUAAAUUUCCCAAAAAUCAACUCAUCCUAAAUAGAUUUUAAAAAGUAGGGA
rnacentral:lncRNA from 1 species